AGAGAUGCUGAGACAGUUCAGAAGGAACAACACCAGGAGCCACAGCAGCAGCCAAGGAAACUUAUAUGGAAGUAUUUUUGAUUUUUACUUUUCUUUCCCCUUGCCCCUUCUGACUCUAACAUAACUAACCAUCACCUUCCCUUUCCCCCUCAUUUCAUCUUCCUUAUUUAAGUGUUGUUGUUUUCUGUUUUUUCAACUACUUGUGUGGUAAUGAUUUUUUUUCUUUUGAAUUUUGUUGAUUUGUUGCAUUGAUUUGAAAUUUUACUAAUCUUCUGCCAGCUGUAUACUUUCAGGGACUAAAAUGAGGAACAACGAUGGAGGAGCAAGGUCGACCAACAAAAGUUGAGGAGAUGACGAGUCCAUUUCCUAGCUAUAUACAGCAGUCAACAUGACCCAAAGUGAAGAAGAAAGUUGAGGCUGACCAGGAUCCUGAAGUGAGGAGCAGUCCCUCUCAUAUAACAGCAUUCGUGAGCAGAAAGUGCGUAAGCAGAGAUGCUGAGACAGUUCAGAAGGAACAACACCAGGAGCCACAGCAGCAGCCAAGGAAACUUAUAUGGAAGUAUUUUUGAUUUUUACUUUUCUUUCCCCUUGCCCUUUCUGACUCUAACAUAACUAACCAUCACCUUCCCUUUCCCCCUCAUUUCAUCUUCCUUAUUUAAGUGUUGUUGUUUUCUGUUUCUUCAACUACUUGUGUGGUAAUGAUUUUUUUUCUUUUGAAUUUUGUUGAUUUGUUGCAUUGAUUUGAAAUUUUACUAAUCUUCUGCCAGCUGUAUACUUUCAGGGACUAAAAUGAGGAACAACGAUGGAGGAGCAAGGUCGACCAACAAAAGUUGAGGAGAUGACGAGUCCAUUUCCUAGCUAUAUACAGCAGUCAACAUGACCCAAAGUGAAGAAGAAAGUUGAAGCUGACCAGGAUCCUGAAGUGAGGAGCAGUCCCUCUCCUAUAAAACAGCAUUCGUGAGCAGAAAGUGCGUAAGCAGAGAUGCUGAGACAGUUCAGAAGGAACAACACCAGGAGCCACAGCAGCAGCCAAGGAAACUUAUAUGGAAGUAUUUUUGAUUUUUACUUUUCUUUCCCCUUGCCCUUCUGACUCUAACAUAACUAACCAUCACCUUCCCUUUCCCCCUCAUUUCAUCUUCCUUAUUUAAGUGUUGUUGUUUUCUGUUUUUUCAACUACUUGUGUGGUAAUGAUUUUUUUUCUUUUGAAUUUUGUUGAUUUGUUGCAUUGAUUUGAAAUUUUACUAAUCUUCUGCCAGUUGUAUACUUUCAGGGACUAAAAUGAGGAACAACGAUGGAGGAGCAAGGUCGACCAACAAAAGUUGAGGAGAUGACGAGUCCAUUUCCUAGCUAUAUACAGCAGUCAACAUGACCCAAAGUGAAGAAGAAAGUUGAGGCUGACCAGGAUCCUGAAGUGAGGAGCAGUCCCUCUCAUAUAACAGCAUUCGUGAGCAGAAAGUGCGUAAGCAGAGAUGCUGAGACAGUUCAGAAGGAACAACACCAGGAGCCACAGCAGCAGCCAAGGAAACUUAUAUGGAAGUAUUUUUGAUUUUUACUUUUCUUUCCCCUUGCCCUUUCUGACUCUAACAUAACUAACCAUCACCUUCCCUUUCCCCCUCAUUUCAUCUUCCUUAUUUAAGUGUUGUUGUUUUCUGUUCCUUCAACUACUUGUGUGGUAAUGAUUUUUUUUCUUUUGAAUUUUGUUGAUUUGUUGCAUUGAUUUGAAAUUUUACUAAUCUUCUGCCAGUUGUAUACUUUCAGGGACUAAAAUGAGGAACAACGAUGGAGGAGCAAGGUCGACCAACAAAAGUUGAGGAGAUGACGAGUCCAUUUCCUAGCUAUAUACAGCAGUCAACAUGACCCAAAGUGUUGAGGCUGAACAGGAUCCUGAAGUGAGGAGCAGUCCCUCUCCUAUAAAACAGCAUUCGUGAGCAGAAAGUGCGUAAGCAGAGAUGCUGAGACAGUUCAGAAGGAACAACACCAGGAGCCACAGCAGCAGCCAAGGAAACUUAUAUGGAAGUAUUUUUGAUUUUUACUUUUCUUUCCCCUUGCCCCUUCUGACUCUAACAUAACUAAACCAUCACCUUCCCUUUCCCCCUCAUUUCAUCUUCCUUAUUUAAGUGUUGUUGUUUUCUGUUUUUUCAACUACUUGUGUGGUAAUGAUUUUUUUCUUUUGAAUUUUGUUGAUUUGUUGCAUUGAUUUGAAAUUUUACUAAUCUUCUACCAGUUGUAUACUUUCAGGGACUAAAAAGAGGAACAACGAUGGAGGAGCAAGGUCGACCAACAAAAGUUGAGGAGAUGACGAGUCCAUUUCCUAGCUAUAUACAGCAGUCAACAUGACCCAAAGUGAAGAAGAAAGUUGAGGCUGACCAGGAUCCUGAAGUGAGGAGCAGUCCCUCUCAUAUAACAGCAUUCGUGAGCAGAAAGUGC